GUGGGUUCAGUCUUUUCCUCCGCGCGCUUGCGGAGGCCGGCGGUUGUUUCGUGCUGUGCCCCUGAGGCUGGCGGUUCCUGGAGGCGGGCUUCCCAGGCCUGGGCUGCGGGUGGCGCGUACGCAGCUGAGGCCCUUACCGAGCCGGCGCUUGGUGGUGCCCGCCGUCUGCCGACCUACACGGUGUAUUUUAUGUUGUCAGAAAUUUGGUGAAAGCAAAGAACAAGUGAGAAUAACAAUUUUGAGACAGAUUGGAAGAAGAUAUCAGGAAUGGAUUCUCCAGACUACAUAACAGUAUCUGAUUCAGCUAUGGAAAUUGAAAAUCAAAAUGAUAGCUCUUCCUCUGAUAGCAGCUUAUUUAAAACUCAAUGUGUUCCUUCCUCACCUAAACGGAGGCAAAGAAAUCCCAUUAGGAAAUGUGUUCAUUCACUUGAAAGUGUUCAAGCAAGAGAUUCAUCCAGUGACUCAUCUAUAGAACCAAGACCAUUGACUUUAAAAGCUAUUUUUGAAAGAUUCAAGAAAAAGAAAUCAAAGAAACGUAAAAAGAGGAAAUAUAAGCCAACAGGAAGACCAAUGGGAAGACCAAAAGGAAGGAAAAACAGUAGGUCACAAAUAAGUAAGAAACAACUUAAAGUUAAAAGACCUCAGUUCCCAUUUAUCGAGUCAGAGAAUGGAAGAAAACCAAUACCUUGGAGGAAAAUUUUAACCUUUGAGCAAGCAGUGGCAAGAGGAUUUUUCAACUACCUUGAAAAACUGAAAUAUGAAUACCACCUCAAGGAAUCCUUAAAUCAGAUGAAUGUUGGUGAAGAUUUAGAAAAAGACGACCUUGAUAGUCGUAGAUAUAAAUACUUGGAUGAUGAUGGAUCAAUCUCUCCUAUUGAAGAGUCAGCAGAAGAAGAUGAGGUUGCUACAAAUCUUGGACGUGAUGAUGAAUGUGAUAUCAAAUUGGUGGAGAAUAAUUAUUUCAUAAUAAGUUCUGAAUUACCAAAGAAGAUGAAUGUAUAUUUAGAGCAAGAAUACACUGAAGACGUUGCUUUGUCUAAAAAGAGAGUAUCAAAGUCCAAAAACAUUGGACAGAAGACAGAAUGACCUGAAAAGGAGAUACGAACGUGAAUGUCAAGGGUUUUAUCUUGAGAACACUAUCUGGAUUUAUGUCAACUCUUUAGGUAUUUUUGUAUAUCCUGAAGAUCUGUACGAUUCUAGGGAGUGAUAGCUUAGGUAAGUUUUAAUUGGCGACAGUGUGACAACUUUAGGGUACAACUGCAGUUCAGAUGAUGAAUUUAACUGUUCAACUGCUGAAUGAUACAGACAUGAACUAAAACAUAAUUCUGACAGCUGAAUAUAGCUCUGUAUAAGUUUUAGUUUUUUAAUCACAUUCAUCAAUCUUUUAUUUGGUGUUUUAUCUGUAGGAGUGAAGAUUUUAACACUCAUGUGUAGAGGUAAGUGGAACAUUUAACUUUUCAUUUAUUAAGGAUUCAAAGUUGUGAAAAAAUGUAAUUUGUGAGUAGACUAAGUCCUCCCUUAACACUAAUGAUAGGUUCUGAAACAAUAAGUGAAGUGAUGUAAAAGGAAGCCAGUUUGACCACAGGCUAAAUGAUGAGAAGUUGCUGUGGCAUCUCAACUUGAUAAGGACACCUUGAACAAAAGGAUGUUAAGUUGAGGACUGCUGUACUGCAUUCCAUUACUGUUGUGACUAAUAGAUUAGGUAUAAAGCAGAAUUGUCAAUAUCUUGGUGAAAAUAUUUGCCAUAAUUGUAUUUAUAUACAAAAUUGGUGGUGGGGAGGGAUGGGAGUUGAAGAGACUGCAUGUCUAGGGGUACCAAAUGAAAAUGUCCCCUUUUUGCACCCUUUUAUUAAACGGACUGUUCCAUAUGGUUCAUCCUAGAAAUGCAGACUUGGAUAUGUUAAAAUAGCAAAGGAAUUCCACCUAAUAACAAUUUGAACAAUGGUAACCUUUAUUUCUAGUGCAAAGAGAGAGGAUAAAGAUAAUAGUGACUUAGGUUUAUAGUUUAUUGCAUUAAUAUGGUUGCCUCAUUGAAAUGACAACUGGAAAGUCACUGUUUUUAAAAAAAUUUCCCCCCAUUGACCCUCCCCCCACCAACCCAGGUCUUCACACUAUUGUCUGUGUCCAUGGGUUAGUGCAUAUAAGUUCUUGGGUUAAUCUCCCUCCCCCCACCCCAAUUCCUCCUGAGUUUUGUCAGCUGGUUAACAUGCUUCUGGAUUUUGUCACAGUGAUAUUUAAUCCUCACAUACUUAAAACAGAAGUGUUUAUAGUUCAGUCAUAAUGCACUGCAUGGUAUCUGCAUUCAGUAGUUUAUUCCUGCUGGGUGUUCAAAGGACAGUGCAAUAUAAAUUCAGUAUCUGGCAUCGUUGGUUUUCUUGGCUUUGUGCAUGUUAAACCUGGUAUUUUUAUUGAGACAUUAUUCUUACAGUUCUUAGUGUUCAGUUAGACAUAAGUAAUCUUCAGUAGGAACUAAUACUUGUCUCUUGUCCCUAGUGUCCGAUAUUAAAAAAACCAGGCAGAUCCAUCUACUCAGACCCUAACCACGUAAGCCUUUCUAUUUCUGUUGCUUUUAGUGGUUUCUUUCCUUUAUUGAUAGCAAGUGUCAGCAGGAACUACUUCUAUACAGAUGUCAAAGCCUUUUGCAUAGUGUAUACAUAAGCUUGAGAGAAAGUUUUAUAAAGCCUCAUUCUAUAUGAAAAUGGGCACUGUUUUUUGUGUACGGUGUCCAGAAAUUUGUUAUUGUGGCUAUAUUGAGACACAGGUUAUGCUUCCAUCACAGUAAUCUUAUUACAGUGGUGACAAUGAGACCUGUAACAUUUUUUGCUAGGCUCAGUGAGCGGAAUAAUAAGUAUACCUUACAUCACCUGCUAAAAUAACAAUAACAAUGUUUUAAUAUUCAAUUUAUAGGGUCCUAAAGAAAAUUGCUUGAAGAAAUUAGUUCCCAAUGAUUAUAGGUAAGAUUUUAAUUUUUUCCUUCAAACUCCCUCCUAGUUUACAGGAGACUUAAGCUCCUUUAGAAAAUUUCAGUAUUAAUGUCCUUGCAUUUAUUCACUUAUUACAGUAGCCCAUCCUGGUGGCUUAUUACUACCACAAAAAAAAAUUGGACAUUAAAAAGGCCAACCGCUAUGCUUGUAGUGUUCACCAGCCUGAUGUUAUGAUGAUGGGCAAAAUGUUCAACUGCUCUGAAUGAGCUGAAUGAAAAAUAGCCAUCUGAACAUCCAUCUACAUAAUAAAUACGAAAGCUAAGAUAAGCAUUCCCCGAAACACAAACAUUUCCAAAUAGUGCAUUUUCUAUGAGAAUUUUAUGAAUGGAAAUGGAUUAAGUCUUAUUUUAACAUUAGAUUUGUUCCCAAUAUCUAAUUUGAUUGAAAAGAUGCUUAUUCCAAUUAUUUUCAGUUUCAAGCCUGGAACUUUCAAUGUAUGCUAGUUGGGAACUGGUUGUGAGGGUACUUUGGACCCUAAUGAAAUGUAUUUUGAAAAAUUUAGUCCAAUAUGAACGUUAAAAUCUUUCUUCAUAGGUGCAGAAUUUUUGAAGUAUGUCCAUAUUCAAGUGUAGAUAAAAGAAGCUCAACUAAAAGGAUUGUGGCAAGUAUUGUCUUUAUCUUACCCCACACCAAAGUAUAAUGGUCAUUACCAAGGCUUUUAGAAUGUAGUUUCUCAUUUGCCGUGGACAUGACCACAAAACAUUUCCCCAAUGGGUUUUUUUCUGCUAUGUUGGUACCAUAGCAUUCAGCCUAUUGGGAACAUUUUACUAACCUAGAUUUACAUUGCUAGAUCACAUUCCACUAUACAUAUGACACAAGCUAUAGGAGAUUUCUGUAAUAGGUCUUGGGAAUCAGAUUUGAUGACAGCCAUUUUAGAUGUCUGGGGCUUGAUGACCUUUGUCUAGCCAAGUCCUUCUCAGUUACCAUACAGUUUGUGAUCAUGAUAAUCUCUAUUCCUAUUAUAUAGGACUGACUUGAGAUGACAUCCGGAUUGAGCAAAACAGGUAUGUAAACAUUAGAAAUAGGUAUUAAUUUAUGGGUCAUUUCAAAGAGAGCUUAUGGGACUAAAACCAGGAGCUCUUAACGCUGUGACCUAAAAUUGAAGUUCUCCAUAGGAUGUAAUAGACACUCAAUAGUGUCUAUUUUGUCCUAAAGAGAUAUAUGAUUUAGCUACUUACAUCAGUGAUUGGUGAGGUGGGAAAGUAAAUUUUCCAAGUUUAACCACUGCGUACUCUUCUUUUUUAGGGAAUAAGAUGAUUAAGACUCAAAUUCAGAAGGAACUAAGGCAGUGGAAGAACUCAGAACAUGUGAAAUUCCUUAAAUAAAAGUUUAUUAACUUUAAAUAAUUGUGCCUAUGUUACAAAUAAUAAAAGUCCUUCAUACUUUUUGUAGAAAGUCA